rnacentral:rRNA from 1 species
GGCGGCGUGCUUAACACAUGCAAGUCGAACGAAAAUACCAAGCUUGCUUGGUUGAUUAGUGGCGAACGGGUGAGUAACACGUGAGUAACCUGCCCCUUACUUUCCUGGAUAACUGCUCGAAAGGGUAGCUAAUACGGGAUAUUCUGACCUGCCUGCAUGGGUUGGUUUGGAAAGGUUGUUUUUCUGGUAAGGGAUGGGCUCGCGGCCUAUCAGCUUGUUGGUGGGGUGAUGGCCUACCAAGGCUUUGACGGGUAGCCGGCCUGAGAGGGUGGACGGUCACACUGGGACUGAGAUACGGCCCAGACUCCUACGGGAGGCAGCAGUGGGGAAUAUUGCACAAUGGGCGCAAGCCUGAUGCAGCGACGCCGCGUGAGGGAUGAAGGCCUUCGGGUUGUAAACCUCUUUCGUCAGGGAACAAGGCACUGCUUUUUUGGUGGUGUUGAGGGUACCUGGAUAAGAAGCGCCGGCUAACUACGUGCCAGCAGCCGCGG